UGAAAACCCUAGAUCGACAUCGUCGCACGCCCGUGGUGAAAAAGUCCCCCAAUCAUGGCUUCUCUUGUUUGCCAAUGGGGGCGGCGAGAGGAUACGGGAGAAGGAGGGAGGCGGAGAUGCACCGGCCACCUGCAAAAGGGGAGGAGCAAAGCCGGUCGGCUGCUGCGGAGGCCUGAAGGUUGCCGCUGCUCGUCCCUCGGGCAGCCGCCGCCGCCGUCCUCGGGCUCCGGCGCCAUUCGGGAGAUUGAGGCGGCGGUCGGCCAGCUUAUGGGUCCAACCUUCUCGCCUGUCCCAAAUCUUCUGCCCGGCGGCUUGUCUCGUCUGCGCCCCCAGGCACCACGGCGUUGGGGAUGGAGCACGCAACCACGUGCACUUGCUUGAGAGCGAGCUCGGCCGAUGCCUAUGAUGCCCACCUCCGCUCUUGGAGAUUAGACUAGCUAAUCGGUAGCUACUAUCAAGAUGUUCACGCUGUGAGCAGAAGCCAAAGCAAUCAUUACAAGAAAGGGGAUGUCCUCAGGAAGCUCAAGAAGUUGUUUGCAGACCAUGAGCUUGUAUGGAUAUAACUAGAAUCUGAAUAACAAAGGAGGGAAUUGAAAAGGUUCUCAAGGCUGGUGCUAAUGUUGUAUUUACCAGUGGUGGCGAAGCCAGCACCCACAGGUGUUUAACGGUCUUCUCAGCAGAAGUGGUAAAACAUAAGCUUUAUCAUUUCCAGUUCGAAUUAUCCCUAAAUCUGACAACCCACUUAUUUAGACUGUUCUGGGUGUUAAAUAACAUGUUUCAGCAUCAUUAUUAAUUGUUAAGGAUGGCUUUACAACACUAGACGUAUUAGCAACAGGAUGGCCAGUUGCAGCAUGUUAUACUCUGUGCAGUUCUUCUAUGUGCAGAUUACUGCCUCAUAUUGCUUCAAACUUCUGCAUAGGGUUUUGUUGACGGAGCUCACUGAAAAUAUUUGUUCUCACCUGCAGCAACGCCUAUUAGAUAUUUUUCAAAAGAAAAAGCAAUUGCCUUUCAGUUAAACUAGGAAUCAUUUAAUAAUUGGAGGCUUUUAUCUACAUAUGUCGACGUAAGGGGUUAGAAGAAGCAGGACAUCUUGGACACUGAAUGACUUUAUAUCGUGUUCAUCUCCUGUCGCCAUCCUUUCUUGCUUGAUGUUCCAUUUUUAGUGCAUGCCAUAUGUCCGAUAAAAUGCCUGGGAGAAGCACCACUAGCAUGGUUCCUAAUGCAUGUGUGUCCAAGACUAUGUUCCUAACUUUGGCUCCUUGUCAGCUUCACAUAUCGGCUUUACAAUCAGGCUAUUAAGUGCUUACUUCUCCAAGUUCAAUCCAUGGUGCAGAAAAGAAAAGUUAUUUAGUUAGUUUUAAUGGAUACAAACCAUAUGUCCGGUGCAUUCUCUAUAAAACUAGGUCAAGUAAUAAUGUCUCAUGUUGCGUUGUUUCAGUUCCUGAGGAUCCUGGAGAGGGAGCUGGCUGUAACUGAGAAGAUCAAAGAGUAUUUCUUUGCAGACUUCACCCAGGAAUUGGUACUGAGCUGGAUGCUGAAGCACUUAAUUACCGUAUGUCGAGUGGUUCAAGAGACAGAAGAUGUACCUCAAAGAAUCUGUCCCAAAAACUGACAGUUGCUUGAAGCAUUUCUUGUUCAUGACACCUUCAUGAUAGGACCAUUAUCGGGUUGAAAUAUCUGGUAGACUAUCAGGUUGCCCCCUCAGUUCUUCUGUUAGCUGCUCUUAGAUAAGGCCUUCAAGCCUCAAGUAUCUCUCUCACACACUGAGUCCAUCUGUUUGUUUUCCUGAGGUGAGGUCUUCAAGCCCCUGUU